rnacentral:rRNA from 1 species
GGAGCAAUCCAUGAGUACAGUGGCGCACGGGUGAGUAACACGUGAAUAAUCUACCUCCGAGUGGGGAAUAACUUAGGGAAACCUGAGCUAAUACCGCAUAACACUUACGAGUCAAAGCAGCAAUGCGCUUGGAGAGGAGUUCGCGGCAGAUUAGUUAGUUGGCGGGGUAAUGGCCCACCAAGGCGAUGAUCUGUAUCCGGCCUGAGAGGGCGCACGGACACACUGGAACUGAAACACGGUCCAGACUCCUACGGGAGGCAGCAGUGGGGAAUUUUGCGCAAUGGGGGAAACCCUGACGCAGCAACGCCGCGUGGAGGAUGAAAUCCCUUGGGAUGUAAACUCCUUUCGAUCGGGACGAUUAUGACGGUACCGGAAGAAGAAGCCCCGGCUAACUUCGUGCCAGCAGCCGCGGUAAUACGAGGGGGGCGAGCGUUGUUCGGAAUUAUUGGGCGUAAAGGGUGCGUAGGCGGUUUGAUAAGUCUGAUGUGAAAUCUAUGGGCUCAACCCAUAGUCUGCAUUAGAAACUGUCGGGCUUGAGUAUGGGAGAGGUGAGUGGAAUUUCCGGUGUAGCGGUGAAAUGCGUAGAUAUCGGA